CUGGUACUCUUUUCGGGGAAGUUAUUCUCUUAGCUUUUCCUUGGGACUCUGAGGGUCUCUGUUGGCUUGUUACUGGCUGGCUGACUGAGAGAAAGGAUAGAGUUCUGAAUGACCCCGUUCCCACUCCUGCUCAUGAUGCCAGACUCUGCCAACAUCUGAGUGGCCUGGGAGCCUGUGGGAAAGGCAGUCUCAGGUCCCAGCCUAGGCUAUUGGACUGACCCCUGCAGUUUACUCCACACGAUUCUCUCACUUAUUAAGACCUGAGCAGCAUGAGGGCCAUAGAAUGGGAAUCGGGUCAGAUUCUGCCCUGGCUGUGUUAAUCUCUGCUGGCAAGUUGCUCCAUGGCCCAUCCCAGUGCCCAGUGAAGCAGAUUUUCCACGAAACCUUGGGACAAGCCUGAUAUCGGCCCAUCUUCUUCUAACUCUGCCUUCUUGGUUGUUUCCAUCACUGAUAACAUGAUGGUAGCCAUCUUGUUACCAGGACCUGUUUUUAGUUUUGAUUUUCAUUUCCUGAGACAGGGUCUCACUCUAUACCCUUGAUCAAACUUGGAGUGAUACUCCUGCCUCAGUUUCUUGAAUGCUGGGAUUAUAGGUGUGAGCCUUCAUCCUUGGAUCAGGAAUGGUUUGGGAACCUAAGUGUCCCGUGUAUGAGACUCAUUUCUAGUCCUCAUCUGGUGAUCCUUUCUUCUUCACAACGAGGUCUCCCCCAGGCCAAGUCAAGGAAGCUGUGAAGGCAGCCAUUGAUGCUGGAUAUCGCCACUUUGACUGUGCCUAUGUGUAUCAGAAUGAGAGUGAGGUGGGAGAAGCCAUCCAAGAGAAGAUCAAAGAGAAGGCUGUGAGGCGGGAGGACCUCUUCAUCGUCAGCAAGCUGUGGUCCACUUUCUUUGAGAAAAGCCUGAUGAAGGAAGCCUUCCAGAAAACUCUCUCAGAUCUGAAGCUGGACUAUCUGGACCUGUAUCUAAUUCACUGGCCACAGGGACUUCAGGCUGGGAAAGAAUUCCUACCCAAAGACAGUCAAGGCAAAGUUCUCAUGAGUAAAUCCACGUUCUUGGAUGCCUGGGAGGGCAUGGAGGAACUGGUGGACCAGGGGCUGGUGAAAGCUUUGGGCGUCUCCAACUUCAACCACUUCCAGAUCGAAAGGCUCCUGAAUAAGCCUGGACUGAAACAUAAGCCAGUGACCAAUCAGGUCGAGUGCCACCCUUACCUCACCCAGGAAAAACUGAUCCAGUACUGUCACUCCAAGGGCAUCGCGGUCAUAGCCUACAGUCCCCUGGGCUCCCCAGACAGGCCUUAUGCUAAGCCUGAGGACCCCGUAGUGCUAGAGAUUCCCAAGAUCAAAGAGAUUGCUGCAAAGCAUAAGAAAACAAUAGCUCAGGUUCUGAUUCGAUUCCAUGUCCAAAGGAACGUGGCAGUGAUCCCCAAGUCUGUGACACUCUCACACAUAAAGGAGAACAUUCAGGUCUUUGACUUCCAGUUGAGUGAGGAGGACAUGGCCGCCAUUCUCAGCCUCAACAGGAACUGGAGGGCCUGUGGCCUGUUUGUGACACCAAGAACCUGGAAACACCUGGUCUGGACCACGCAGCAUUUGGGUAACAAAGUAACAUCGUGGCCAUGAAUCUUAGCUCUAAAGGCUGUAAACAGGCCAGAAACCCUGUCAGAAACCUUCCAGUAGAAACCCUUUCUACCGUAGGAUGGCUUAUUCACAAAGAUGAAUUCCAUGUUCAUCAGCACCUGAGAUGCAGGGCCCCUCCACCCACAUUAGGAGAACAAAGGCACACGCUGCAGUUUUCAACAAUUCUCUUCUGAGGUGUUAGAGAUGCUAGCUGCUUAUUGGGAAGGAUGAACUUCUGGAAGACUGAGGAGACAGAAGGAGACAGCCAUCCAAGACGGGCACAGAGGGAAAUAAUGGCACAGAGGCCAGCGACCAAGCAGCACCGAGGGCUCAUUUGAGGUCAGCGGCUCUAAGUUUAAGAACUGUGAAUUGCUAUGAAAGAAUUUACUAAAUUCUAUCAUGGCUUACUUCUACCUGAGACACUUGGAGGAGGUAUCCUGACUUAUGAAUCACUCACUGGCCUUUAGCUUAGAAUCCAGCUCAACGCUUUUCAAAUAAGCCCAGGAAAGUUCUAUCAAGAAUCUCCAACAAGCACCUUUAAAUUUUCUUUUUAUAAAACACGCAACUGUGGUGAUUGAAUUUCUUCUGUUUGAGAUUACAGGUUACUCAAAUUUAACAAGUAAACAAAUGGCAUGGAAAAAUAGUGCAGCUUACGUCCAAGAGUUCAUCAGAGAAGUCUCGGGAGUUUAUUGCCUUGCUACUUUGUUAAGAAGAGUUUCUUCCCCGCAGAAAGAAAUGGCAAUGCCAUCUCUGGGAUCACCACCUCCUUCAGCACACGGCAAGUGGGUACUCCCUGUUUGAAAUGAGCUUAGCAAAAGCUUCCCAGAAUUCAUCACCGGAGAGUCACCCUGAGCCACGCUCCCCCUAUCUGGUCAACGCAGAGAGCGGAAGCUUCCACAGCAGGUGGUGUCCCUUGGAUGCGAUCCACAGCAGGUGGUGUCCCUUGGAUGCGAUAGGUCUGCACUUUAUCCAAAGGCCCCUUUUCAUCAUGUUUCACCGGGGUUACAUCAGUCAGGAAUGUUUUGUAUUUAGAAAUAUUCAACAGGAAUCCUUAGCUGUAUUCAAACAAAAUUAGAUUCCUGGUCCAAGCAGCUAGGCCUCUAUGUAAGCAUGCUCUGUGGGAGACAUGAACAGGAGCUGCGGCAGAAACAUCUGGAGGGAGGGAAUUUGGUGCAUUCCCACGGUGCCAGAUCCAUGGGAGAGAGCUAGAGACCCCCUUUUGUGAUUCAGGCUAAACUCAGACUUAUAAAAGAGUAAGAUACACAUAAGUCAUCCUCUCACUCACCACGGUCACUAUCUCUGCCUCAAAAGUUGCCCAAGACUCACAAUGCAAACCCGACUGCUAUGCGGCUCAGAUGUUUGCGCUAAAGAACCUUCCCAGCAAGGUGGUCCAAGAGCGUCACGUGAUUUCACCUAACACCCAUCACGUAAUAUUCCUCUUGUAAUCAGAUACAAGGAUUUCUCAUACCUAAUUUCUGCAUCUUCCCAUUUUGGUGACCAAGAGCCUCUGUCAAGUCACAUAGGCAGAAGCUUGGGACAUGCCCAUCUCUGGGAUCCCCUGAUGUACAAACCUUCUGGAAUGCUCCCUUCCAGAGAGCGAAGCCUAAAAACAGACCGACAGGCAUGAGUAGUGAGUACCGUCACACUGAAGACUAACUGGACCCACUGUUUUUCCAGAUGCACACCAUAUCCAGAAGUGUCCAGACCUCAGGCUAUAAUAAAUAAUAAUGCAAUGUAUAUAUUAUAUGUAUUGUUUAUUGUUAUAUUAUAUACUAUAUAUGCAUUAUUAUAUAUUCUAAGUAUUAUUAAUAUAUAAUAUAUUGUAUAAUAUAAUAUCUUAAUAUAUUUUAAAAAGAACAUGUGCUUUUUUAGUUUAGUUAGACUAUUUGGUUUAGAGGAGCAAACUUUGGACCCAGUUCCUGUGGCAUAAGAUUCUUCCUUCCCUUUACUAUCAUUAGAGACUUUAAAAGAGCAUAUUUUAUUCUCCCUGAAUGGGUUAAAGUUUUUACCUCAGAGUCUUGCUCUGUUCGUUUUAAUAAACUCUUUCUCUGGAGGAGGAUCUGAAUCUGAACUUACCUCAAGGACCAUUCCUCCCUAACAGGACUUUCUAAUCACCUGCGACCAUUUCUAACUCUGAAAUUUUCUCAUGUGAUCUACCACCUCAGGGCAAUUUCCUUAUUUACACUGAUUUAUCCUUAAAUUCAAGGGAUGGUGCUAUCCUGUCUUCAGAGUCUGUCGAUGCUUCUCCUUUCCACCCCAAGGAACCGGCGGAGGAACAGAACAAGGAGGAAAACAGUUCCCAGAGCUCGGGUAAGCAGACCCAGGAAGGAACACCAGCAGUCGACUACGUCACUGUCAGAAUCACAGCGAGACCGAGUAGGUUGGAGGGACUAUCCAGACAACUCUCUUGUUCUACAAGCCAGAGCCAAAGAAACUUAAACAGCACACUCCACAGAGGUCAGGAUCCAAAGACGAGGAGGCAGUGAAUGAUCUGUGAGGAAGGAUUAACCCACGCGCAUUUCUCAACCCUUCCUGCAGGCGGAGAGGAGAAGGGCAGUUACGUUUAACACUGAAGUCUUCGACUGAGUUCCUCCAAAAUGGAGAUUCACAAAAAUCUGUGCCUCUAGAAAGACCCUGAGACAGCUGCAUGGCACUAGAAGACACUGAUAAAAUUAAAAUUAAGAGCACUGGAAGAUGUUUAUUUCGAGGGCGGCUAUGAAACCAAAUGUCACGCUGAAUCUCUGCAUCUUGACUUGGGGGUGUUAGUGCAAGCGGACUGUGAGCCAACAACCCUGACACUGCUUCAGCUCCUUGAUACUCCUUCUUUUUCUCUAAAAAUUAGAUAUUUUAAGUAUUUAACAUUUCAAAUGUUAUCCCUCUUUCUGGUUCCCCCCUCCUGUACCCCCUCCCCCUGUUUUUAUAAGGGUGCUCCCACUCCCGCCUCCCUGCCCUGGCAUUCCCCUACACUGGGGAAACGAGCCUCUCCUUCUAUUGAUGCCAGACAAGGCCAUCCUCUGCUACAUACACAGCUGGAGUCAUGGGUCUGUCCGUGUGUACUCUUUGGUUGGUGGUUUAGACCCUGGGAGCUCUGGGGGAGGGGGGUCUGGUUGGUUGAUAUUGUUAUUCUUCCUAUGGGAUUACAAACCCAGUCAGCUCCUCAACCCUUUCUCUAACUCCUCCAUUGGGGUCCCUGUGCUCAUUCCGAUGGUUAGCUGCAAGCAUCCUCACCUAUAUCAGUAAGGCUCUGGCAGAGCCUCUCAGGAGACAUCCAUAUCAGACUCCUGUCAGCAAGCACUUCUUGGCAUCAGCAAUAGUGAUUUGGUGGCUGCAUAUGGGAUGGAUCCCCAGGUGCGGAAGUCUCUGAAUGGCCUUCCCUUAGGUCUCUGCUCCAAUAUUUGUCCCUGUACUUCCUUUAGACAGGAACAAUUCUGGGUUAAAAUUUUGAUAAGGGUCGGUGGCCCCAUCCCCAACUGGGGGCCUUGCCUAACCUCUGGGUAUGGUCUCUACAGGUUCUCCCUCCCCUUUGUUGGGAGUUUCAGCAAUCUCAUCCCUGUUGGGUCCUGGGAACCUCUUGCUUUCCUGGCAUCUGGGACUUGCUGGUGGCUACCCCCAGUUCCCUAUCCCCCAUUGAUACACACCUCUGUUCAAAUUCCUGACCCUCUGUAUAUCAUCCUGUCUCCUCUCAUUCCUGAUCUUGCCCCCCUUUGUCCCCUCCCUUUCUUCUCGUCCUCCCAAGUCCCUCCCACCCUCUACUUCCCGUGAGUAUGUUGUUCCCCCUUCUAAGAAGAACUAAACAUCCACACUUUGGUCUUCCUUCUUGAGCUUCAUGUGAUCUGUGAAUUAAUUGUAUCUUGGGUAUUCUGAGCUUUUGGGCUAAUAUCCACUUAUCAGGGAGUACAUACCAUACGUGUUCUUUUGUGAUUGGGCUACCUCACUCAGGAUGAUAUUUUCUAGUACCAUACAUUUGCCUAAGAAUUUUAUGAAGUCAUUGUUUUUAAUACUUGGGUAAUACUUCGUUGUAUAAAUGUAUCCUAUUUUCUGUAUCCAUUCCUCUGUUGAAGGGCAUCUGGGUUCUUUCCAGCUUCUGGCUAUUAUAAAUAAGGCUGCUAUGAACAUAGUGGAGCACGUGUCUUUGUUGUAAGUUGGGGCAUCUUUUGGGUAUAUGCCCAAGAGAGGUAUAGCUGGGUCCUCAGGUAGUUCAAUGUCCAAUUUUCUGAGGAACCUCCAGACAGAUUUCCAGAGUGGUCAUACAGCUUGCAAUCCCACCAACAAUGGAGGAGUGUUCCUCUUUCUCCACAUCCUCGCCAGCAUCUGCUGUCACCUGAGUUUUUUAUCUUAGCCAUUCUGACUGGUGUGAGGUGGAAUCUCAGGGUUGUUGUGUUUUGCAUUUCCCUGAUGAUUAAAGAUGUUGAACAUUU